AAGCUUGAUUCCGGUGGUGGUUGAUCCGGUGAUCGGAAAGUCGAGGAUGCUGGUUACGCCGAGUGUGAAGGAGAAGGCAAAAGAAAUCGCAGAGACGUGGAAAAAGAGCCUUGAAGAGAGAGGAGGGAUUGAGAAUGUGAAGACUCCGGAUGUUCAUACUUUUCUGCAACAUUUGGUUACGUUUGGGAUUGUUAAGAAAGAGGAUCUGGAGCUUUAUAGGAAGCUUGUUGUUGGUUCUGCCUGGAGGAAACAAAUGCCUAAACUUGCCGUUUCGCUUGGCCUCGGUGACAAAAUGCCUGGUAUUUGAUUUCUUUUGUUGAGAUGAAAUUACUUUUUUUUUUAAUGUUCUUAUUUUCUGUUAGUGAGUACUAUCAUGGAGUUUCAAACUUGUUGCAGCUUAUUACAGUAUUCUAGGAGUCGAUGGUUAUGUUUCAUUGUGAUGGUGUUUUGAAAGUGAUUAUAUUGUCUGAUUAAUUUGAUCUUGGUGUCAAAACUUUCAGAAUGAACUUAAGAGUUGUAAAGAUAAGAUUUUUAGGGUAUUUCAUGAGUUAUGUUGCUUAUAUUCGAGACUCAGUGUUAGAUACAGGCAUGUGUCUGACAUGGGAUAUGUUCAAUUUCUUUCAAAGUUUUUCCUUAUAUUUAGGGAGGAGUGAAAACUCCAUAUGCAUGUCUGUCAGAUAUUUGCUGGACAUGGGUACUCGUGCAAGAAUUAAGAGUUGGAGCAAUAGUUGACUAGCAUAAUUAAGUGACUUGUAACCUAGGAUGUUAAUUAGCUGUUGCAUGUUGCCUUAACUUGUUGGUAAGCAUGUGCUUUUUCUUUUGUAAGCCAACAUGCUUUGGAGAUGGUUCGUGUUUGUUACUUGGUGUUUUUGGAAAGUAUACGGUAUGUCUUUAGUGGAACCAUUUAAAGAACUUAUAUCUUGAUGCACUUUUACCAUUUAGGGACAUGUGGGCUGCAUGUUGUGAAGAGUGUACCUGCUGGUUUUUGUGGUUUAAAUAGAACAAGAUACUAGAACUUUAUGUUAAGAUCAGUGAAGCUAUAUGUUCAUAGGAUCUGAUAUAUAUCAAGUUGUUCGUUAAAGCCAAGGGUUGUGUUAGUUUAGUACUGGGUAAAGAGUGAAUUCCAAGGUGUAGGUAUUGUAGCCAAACAGAUGUAGCUUGCAUAAUUCUAACAAGUAAAGAUUCAUUGUCUUUUUUAAUGUCUAUAUCACCAUUUAAUCCAUAAACAUGGUCAACAUUUCAUCGAAAAACAUUGCUUAUACUGGACUGUUGUGUUUUUGGAAGCUCUCUUAUGGGUUUUUACCAUUUGUGCUCAAAAUCAUUCCAUUAAGGUACAAUUGUAAAAUUGAGUUUCUAAUGCAUUUAAUUCUCCACUACAGACAUGAUUGAAGAAUUGGUCAGUAAGGGACAGCAGCUUGAUGCAGUUCAUUUCACUUAUGAAGUUGGCCUUGUAGACAAGUUCCCUCCUGUACCCCUGCUCAAAGCUUUCCUGAGGGAUGCAAAGAAAGCUGCGUCUUCUAUUUU
rnacentral:lncRNA from 1 species